rnacentral:lncRNA from 1 species
UGUGCACACGUACAAACAAAGGUAAUGGUGAUCUCGCAAACACAGUUGGUUUCCGGAGCUAAGUGAGCAGGAGCGCUUGUGUCGUAGUAUUGAAGAAGCUGUUUACUCUCCCAGGGUCACCCUUCAGAUCUCGUCUUCUCACUGAGACUGGCUCUGUUUUCUUCUCUGUGUUUUUUAUUGCAGUUUAUUAUUUCCAUGAUUAUUACACAAGGCAUUACCCUUGAGCUAAAAUUCAAUUUUCCAAUAAGCAGCUAGAAUUAGAUAACAUUGUUCUAUGAAUAUACACUAAUCUGGGUUAUUAAAAAACUUCACAAUUAAAAAACAAAAUAGAACCCUUGCAUUAGUUAUCCAGUCAUUGUUUGGAUGUUUGGGAAAACAGAGGUCAUAGUUAUUCAUAGAGAAAUGGCUUUCCUGUUAUUUUCCUUACCAAGUUGAAAUUUGUCCCAGUUUUUGGCCACCAGGAUCUAUGAAAGGACCUAUGUUCUUUUCAAGGGAAAUGAUUCCUCUUCUAUUCCCACUGUUGAUUAAAUAAAUCAUUGACACUUUCCCAUGUCCACUGGCCAA